CCUACGGGUGGCAGCAGUGGGGGAUAUUGGACAAUGGGGGGAACCCUGAUCCAGCGACGCCGCGUGAGUGAAGAAGUAUCUCGGUAUGUAAAGCUCUAUCAGCAGGGAAGAAGAAAUGACGGUACCUGAGUAAGAAGCCCCGGCUAACUACGUGCCAGCAGCCGCGGUAAUACGUAGGGGGCAAGCGUUAUCCGGAAUUACUGGGUGUAAAGGGUGCGUAGGCGGGCUGUUAAGUCAGCGGUCAAAUGUCGGGGCUCAACCCCGGCCUGCCGUUGAAACUGGCGGCCUCGAGUGGGCGAGAAGUAUGCGGAAUGCGUGGUGUAGCGGUGAAAUGCAUAGAUAUCACGCAGAACUCCGAUUGCGAAGGCAGCAUACCGGCGCCCUACUGACGCUGAGGCACGAAAGCGUGGGUAUCGAACAGGAUUAGAUACCCCUGUAGUC
rnacentral:rRNA from 1 species